rnacentral:pre_miRNA from 7 species
GUCUCGGUCUCUUGGGUGGUAGCGUCGAUCCCGGACGAGCCCCCAAAUGUAAGACCCCCCGAAGGGAGACCCUCACACAAGCCUCAGGAUGUGGCGCGGACCCAAGAGAGACGCGGAGACCG